rnacentral:rRNA from 1 species
UACAGAGGUCCCAAGCGUUGUUCGGAUUCAUUGGGCGUAAAGGGUGCGUAGGCGGCGCGGUAAGUCGGGUGUGAAAUUUCGGAGCUUAACUCCGAAACUGCAUUCGAUACUGGCGUGCUUGAGGACUGGAGAGGAGACUGGAAUUCAUGGUGUAGCAGUGAAAUGCGUAGAGAUCAUGAGGAAGACCAGUGGCGAAGGCGGGUCUCUGGACAGUUCCUGACACUGAGACACGAAGGCCAGGGGAGCAAACGGG